GCUGAGGUGGGCAGAUCAUGAGGUCAGAAGUUGAUGUCGAUGCAAAUGAACAGGACAAGAAGAUUCAGCAGCUCCUAGUUGGGCCUCAUGGCUAAAACAACUCUUUCAGAAACAAAACAAAAGCUUGGUCAAGAAGUCAUGAGAAGUAGCAGCAGUGAAACAAGGCGUUAAUUGAAGAUGUUUAGCUAUGUUUAUAUAGGCAGAACUCUGACAUACAUGAACACACUUAGAAAUCAUAGAGUCAGUUCAGAUUGGGGGUCUUUAGCCAAAAGAGGGUCCUUCAGUCUGUCGGGGUUUAGGACUUUUACUUCGGUCUUUAAUAAAUAGAUAGGUGGCCUUGGAGCUGGGCACUGUCACAGACACUAUCAAUAUAGUGGUAAACAACCAAUCAAGUUUCCAUCCGCACGAAAUUUACCUUGUAAUAAGAGAAACAUAAUAACUAUAAAUAAAUAGGAAAUACAAUGUCAGGUAAUGAGAGUGCUAUGAAGAAAAGUAAGCAGAGUAAGGGGAUGGAGAUGUGUGCUGGGAAGACUCUUUUAGUUGUCAGAGAAGCCUUUUCUCCCCCACCUUUUCUCAUAAAUUAUUAAAGGGAAAUAAAAGACUACAAAAAUGAUAUGCU
rnacentral:lncRNA from 1 species